rnacentral:lncRNA from 1 species
GGGCAUGGGAAACAACCCAUGGCACUGCAUUAUCUCACACGGGACCAACUCCUUGGUUUCGGUGUGAGAUAAAUACCAACACAAGAAAACAAAUGGGUGUGAAAGAGUCUUAAAGCAGAAGGUCUUUUCCUCUUCUAUGCACACUCCCUAAGGUGCCAUAAGAUGGCGUGUGGAUUAAAUAAGGCAUAAAAAAAUUAAGAGGAGUAGCCCAGGAGGACUCUUCUUUCUGCGCACCUUAAAUAAAUGUGGUGAUGAAAAUAAAUGGCAUGGAGGCAUGGAGGAUGUUGUUGCUUAAAUCGAUCGAGAUCGAAAGAUGGACACCUGAUCCUCGUGCAGGGAUGCUGGCGCUGGAGUGAUCUGCAAGACAAGUCUCAAACCGGAGGUUAUGACUCUAGCAAUGACCCUCCGACGCUCAAGUUAGAAAAGCAGAGAACAAAGGAGCAGCAACGGAUUCUUUGAGAGAGAUUUUAUGGGACUUACCUGGGUCCUCGAGACUCUGAUUGUUUAUAUAAAAGGAUGUCGGAUAGUUGGAUUGUAAGCUAUGAGAUUGCAUGAUCCCGAGAUUGUCGGACCGUUGGACAUGUCAAAUUGGGCAAGAUAAUUCAGCCAUUAAUCACUCCUGCAAGAUCAUGAGAGAUGGUUACACC